rnacentral:rRNA from 1 species
AGACCCGAAACCCGGUGAUCUAGCCAUGGGCAGGUUGAAGGUUGGGUAACACUAACUGGAGGACCGAACCGACUAAUGUUGAAAAAUUAGCGGAUGACCUGUGGCUGGGGGUGAAAGGCCAAUCAAACCGGGAGAUAGCUGGUUCUCCCCGAAAGCUAUUUAGGUAGCGCCUCGUGAAUUCAUCUCCGGGGGUAGAGCACUGUUUCGGCUAGGGGGCCAUCCCGGCUUACCAACCCGAUGCAAACUGCGAAUACCGGAGAAUGUUAUCACGGGAGACACACGGCGGGUGCUAACGUCCGUCGUGAAGAGGGAAACAACCCAGACCGCCAGCUAAGGUCCCAAAGUCAUGGUUAAGUGGGAAACGAUGUGGGAAGGCCCAGACAGCCAGGAUGUUGGCUUAGAAGCAGCCAUCAUUUAAAGAAAGCGUAAUAGCUCACUGGUCGAGUCGGCCUGCGCGGAAGAUGUAACGGGGCUAAACCAUGCACCGAAGCUGCGGCAGCGAACGUAUCACCCAAGACAACUUUACGGAGUUGACGAUUGACGGAGCGAAGCGACGUCAAAGCGUUCAUUAAAGUCGAGUUGGCUUAGGGAUACGUUCGUUGGGUAGGGGAGCGUUCUGUAAGCCUGUGAAGGUGUGUCGUGAGGCAUGCUGGAGGUAUCAGAAGUGCGAAUGCUGACAUAAGUAACGAUAAAGCGGGUGAAAAGCCCGCUCGCCGGAAGACCAAGGGUUCCUGUCCAACGUUAAUCGGGGCAGGGUGAGUCGACCCCUAAGGCGAGGCCGAAAGGCGUAGUCGAUGGGAAACGGGUUAAUAUUCCCGUACUUGGUGUUACUGCGAAGGGGGGACGGAGAAGGCUAUGUUGGCCGGGCGACGGUUGUCCCGGUUUAAGCGUGUAGGUGUGUGUUCCAGGUAAAUCCGGUUCACUUUAACACUGAGGCGUGAUGACGAGGCACUACGGUGCUGAAGCAACAAAUGCCCUGCUUCCAGGAAAAGCCUCUAAGCAUCAGGUAACAUCAAAUCGUACCCCAAACCGACACAGGUGGUCAGGUAGAGAAUACCAAGGCGCUUGAGAGAACUCGGGUGAAGGAACUAGGCAAAAUGGUGCCGUAACUUCGGGAGAAGGCACGCUGACACGUAGGUGAAGUGAUUUACUCACGGAGCUGAAGUCAGUCGAAGAUACCAGCUGGCUGCAACUGUUUAUUAAAAACACAGCACUGUGCAAACACGAAAGUGGACGUAUACGGUGUGACGCCUGCCCGGUGCCGGAAGGUUAAUUGAUGGGGUCAGCGCAAGCGAAGC